rnacentral:rRNA from 1 species
UACGAAGGGGGCUAGCGUUGUUCGGAAUUACUGGGCGUAAAGCGAACGUAGGCGGUGUUCCAUGUCAGAGGUGAAAGCCUGGGGCUCAACUCCAGAAUUGCCUUUGAAACGGGAACGCUUGAGUCCGAGAGAGGAUGGCGGAAUUCCUAGUGUAGAGGUGAAAUUCGUAGAUAUUAGGAAGAACACCGGCGGCGAAGGCGGCCAUCUGGCUCGGUACUGACGCUCAGGUUCGAAAGCGUGGGGAGCAAACAGG